rnacentral:lncRNA from 1 species
UGGCAUAAUGCCAUGCUAAAUCACAAAAAAAUACUUAUCCCUCUUGAAAAUUCAUUCUUCUAAACAACUAAAAAAAUAAAAAUAAAAAGUACCUCCACAAUGCACACCAUGAAGGACUAUAUUAUGAAGAAGAUAUUCAUCCAUUAACCUGCUCUACAUAUUACAAUAAUCAGUUUCCAAAAAUAACACCUCUUAUCCCCAGUCCACAUGACUAAGCAGUUUUUCCUACCCCAUCCAUUAAGGACUAUAUUUUGUAGAAGAUGUUCAUCCAUUAACCUGCUCUACAGAUUACAAUAAUCAGUUCCCAAAAAUCAAACAUCUUAUCCCCAGUCCACAUGACUAAGAAUUUUUUUCCUAUCCCAUCCAGUCUCCAGACAGCCUACUGUAUAUUUAGCUUAUGCUCUAAAUUUCUGCAUGACCAAAUCUAAAGACCUUCCCUUUGAACCCCUUUUCUCCUGCCACACUCCUUAGAAGGAUGAACAGGACUGGUUAUAGUUGUGCUUGAAUCCCGGUUGGAGACUCUCCAAUAAUCCAUGGCAGUGCACCAAUAUAACAAUUACCCUAUCUCGGCUCUCUGAUAUAUCAGCAUAAGAUCAGAGAAGACCUGAAUGGAUACUAUUGCUAUACUUCAAAUUCAUAAAUUGUUGUACAUGCCAAGAAAAAGAGAUUUUUUCAAGCAGACUAUGCAAAAUCAAAAGAUUUCAAGGAAAUUCUCUGCUCCUCAAUCCUGGUAGAAAAACCCUGGCUGACUCAGUUUUUGUUCAAUGCUGAGUUAAUAGAGGUUGCCAGCCAGAUGUCAGAUACUAUAAUCCUUACCAGUAUGGAGAGAAAGAGAGAGGGAUUGGAAUGUGUGUGUGUGUGU